ACUCAUCAGCUUUCUUCAAAAGAAAAAAGAAAAAAGAGGAAAAAAAAAAAAAAGAGAGAGAAAUUAAGAUGGAGAACAAAGAAAUUAAAUAAACCGUCCACCAUUACGUAUACAUUACAAGCAAUUAUCAGCAGUAAUCUUAUUGUUCUAAUACUCUAACGAGUGUGGAUUUCAAUCCCUCUUCAGUUCUGAAUCCAUUAGGAAGUUUAACCACCACAUCUUGAACCAUGAGAUCGUUAACAGUGGACAUACUAGCAUGGUGCACUUGAAAUUCAAGAUCACGUAGUGCAGACAAUAACCUAGCACCUGGAUGAUUGAGAUUCUCAGAUUGAACCCUAAUCAUGGCGUCAUUACCAAUAAUCUUAACAUCAAUAUCAAGUGCAAAUGCAGUUCCACCAGAAUUAGGCCCGGCUUGAUCUACAGAAGUGGUUGUGCUUUGAUUAUCUGUAUUAUCAGUCACUUCCAAUUUCGCCCUUUUGGAUUUCUCUCUUUGUAGCUGUGACUCCAAUUCAUCAAUUUUGGCCUUCAGUUCGUUUAUAUAGCACGCAGCAUCAGAUAGCAGUGAUGCUUUGUCCAUUCUGGAAACGUUUGGAACAACAGCUCGCAGGGCGUAGAACCGGUGGUUGAGCUUCUCCCGCCGCUGCCGCUCCGCCUCUACGUGGUUCAAUGGCGUGUCUCGGCCUAACGCUGGUUUUCUCCCUCUUUUCUUCGGGGUUCUUUUCUCUAUAGUCGUAGCAGCAACUAAAAGACAGUCUGAGUCAGAAUGCUCCGAGUCUACGUAUGAGAGGCCCGCUGUAGCACUCUCUUUCUUUGCCUCAUCUUCUUGUGCGAACUUCUCCUCAGGGGCUGCAUCUCCCCCUUGUAUUCCUGCAAUUAUGCCUAUAUCAGCGAAAGAAAUGUUCAUGUCGAGUAACUGGUUGGGUAUUGUGGUUGGAUUGGAAUUUUUGGGCAUCAGACCGGCGAGAUCUGACCCAAAGAGAGACUUGGCUUGUUGAACAAGGCCCCAAUUCUCUCUGAUCAUAUCAGAUGAGCCCAAUUCAAGAACCCCAUUACACGUAGGUAUGCAAACCAGGGUUUCAAGGCCAUGCAUUCGUGCCUCUUUGGCUCUUUCACAGUUGUAGAAUUGUAGUUCCUGUCCACCAGUUAACCAGACCAAAGAACCAGUGCUAAGCGCCUUUCCAGGAAUACCUUCUCCGGCCGAGAAAGAUCGAGUGAGGGACAUCACAUAGAACCAUUCAGCGUCAGUGGCAUCUCUGUGAUCGAUCAUAGACCCAUCUGUGUCAUGGUAUUCACAGAUGAGAGCUUGGAUUCCAUUCACGGGUCUUUUCCUCUCUAAGUUGAAGGUAGGAAUGCGGUGUUGGAGGUGGCUGUUGACGGUGGUUAGUUUUGGGGAUGUAUCUCUGGUGCCUUGGAAGUGGCCAUCUCCCCAUGCGAGGAAGACGCGGCCAGUUUCAUCGUUUGAUGUUUGCCAGAAUAUGGCAUAAGCCCACCAGUCAGGCUGGCUUUGGAGCAUGAAUUGGAGCCUCUGUUGGAUAGUAGCUGGGGUUUCUUGUGAUGAAGGGACUAGCGAAGAAGAAGAAGAAGAUGGAGAUAUGAUGAGUUUCUCCAUGGCUUGAGAUCAAUUCUGAUUGUGUCAAAGAGGCAGAAAGAGGGAAAUGGAUGCGAAAGAGAAAGAAAAGAAACCAGAUAAAAAGAAAGAGAGGAGAGGACUAGACUUUCCCGUUGGUACGGAAAAAGAAAGAGAGAUGAAGAGUAGAGAUAGAGUCAGGCCAAGCGCAGUACAACGUUUGAGGACAAGAAGAAAAUUAAGAAAAAAAAAUAGGAACAGGCAUUUAUAGAGGAAAAUUUUCUGUUUUGGUUGCAUGAAAAUUGGAAAACUAGACCUGCCAAAAUCAAUGACAUCGGAUGGUUGGAUUACUAGCAAUUGAUUAGACUGGGGCAGAAACACAAUUUAAAAAAAAAUAA
rnacentral:misc_RNA from 1 species